rnacentral:misc_RNA from 1 species
UAAUAAGUGUUUAUGGCACUUCUUAAAUCCAUAUCCACCUUGUGUGCAAUGUCAGCCGUUUUCUUUAUGAAAGCGGCCCAAACAUCAACUUAUUUUUUAACUGUCCGUCUGAAAACUAUUAUGAAUAAACAAUUCAAAUA